UGUGGGAGCUGGCUUGCCUGCGAUGGCGGUGGGCCAGCCAAUCUAUCUGUGACAGAUACACCGCUAUCGCAGGCAAGCCAGCUCCCACA
rnacentral:antisense_RNA from 1 species